rnacentral:rRNA from 1 species
CACGGGGGGAGCAAGCGUUGUUCGGAAUCACUGGGCGUAAAGGGCGUGUAGGCGGUCAGGUAAGUGGGAUGUGAAAUGCCUCGGCUCACCCGAGGCACUGCAUUCCAAACUGCUUGGCUUGAGUAUGGGAGAGGAUGAGGGAAUUCCUGGUGUAGCGGUGAAAUGCGUAGAUAUCUGGAGGAACAUCGGUGGCGAAGGCGGCAUCCUGGACCGGUAUUGACGCCGAGGCGCGAAAGCUAGGGGAGCAAACGGG